rnacentral:rRNA from 1 species
AUUGAACGCUGGCGGCAGGCCUAACACAUGCAAGUCGAGCGGAUGAAGGGAGCUUGCUCCUGGAUUCAGCGGAGGACGGGUGAGUAAUGCCUAGGAAUCUGCCUCGUAGUGGGGGAUAACGUCCGGAAACGGGCGCUAAUACCGCAUACGUCCUGAGGGAGAAAGUGGGGGAUCUUCGGACCUCACGCUAUCAGAUGAGCCUAGGUCGGAUUAGCUAGUUGGUGGGGUAAAGGCCUACCAAGGCGACGAUCCGUAACUGGUCUGAGAGGAUGAUCAGUCACACUGGAACUGAGACACGGUCCAGACUCCUACGGGAGGCAGCAGUGGGGAAUAUUGGACAAUGGGCGAAAGCCUGAUCCAGCCAUGCCGCGCGUGUGAAGAAGGUCUUCGGAUUGUAAAGCACUUUAAGUUGGGAGGAAGGGCAGUAAGUUAAUACCUUGCUGUUUUGACGUUACCAACAGAAUAAGCACCGGCUAACUUCGUG